rnacentral:rRNA from 1 species
CAAAACUUUCAACAAUGGAUCUCUUGGUUCUGGCAUCGAUGAAGAACGCAGCGAAAUGCGAUAAGUAGUGUGAAUUGCAGAAUUCAGUGAAUCAUCGAAUCUUUGAACGCACAUUGCGCCCCUCGGUAUUCCGUGGGGCAUGCCUGUUCGAGCGUCAU